rnacentral:rRNA from 1 species
GAUGAACGCUGGCGGCGUGCCUAAUACAUGCAAGUCGAGCGAACGGACGAGAAGCUUGCUUCUCUGAUGUUAGCGGCGGACGGGUGAGUAACACGUGGAUAACCUACCUAUAAGACUGGGAUAACUUCGGAAAACCGGAGCUAAUACCGGAUAAUAUUUUGAACUGCAUGGUUCAAUAGUGAAAGACGGUCUUGCUGUCACUUAUAGAUGGAUCCGCGUUGCAUUAGCUAGUUGGUAAGGUAACGGUUUACUACGGAACCGAUGCAUAGCCGACCUGGGAGGGGGACGGCCAAACCGGGAACGGGAAACCGGUCCGGACUCCUACGGGAGGCAGCAUAAGGGAAUCUUCGGAAAUGGGCGAAGUCCUGACGGAGCAACGCCGGUUGAUGGAGGAGGGUCUUCGGAUCGUAAGACUCGUUUAAUAGGGAGAAACAUAUGUGUAAUGGAAUGUGCACAUCGUGACGGUACCUAAUCAGAAAGCCACGGCUAACUACGUG